rnacentral:lncRNA from 1 species
CCUGGCCCCGCCGCCGUCAUCCCGCAUCGAGUGUGCUGAGCUGAGGCGUCCGCGCGGCUGUUUCACACGCAGGGCUCUGGUCAGACGGGCCCUGGGCAAGGCCUCUGCCCUCAGCCUCCUGUCAACAGCUUCAAGUAGACUCAGCACCAAGGAGCAGAAAGGGCUGGCCACCUCCCUCGUCCAAACCGAAAGUGAUUCUGGAGAACACUAGCGUCUACCCCUGGAGCCAGCAGCAGCAGUGUGGACUGGUGGUUAGAGCAGACUGGGCCCACAGCUGGCGUGUGCACCUACAGCUGAGCUUCUCAAGAGCAAGACGGUUCUAGAACACUCGGAGACACACGUGCUCCAGAAGAUGAGGAGCCUUACUGUUUAAACAAUGGCCCAUCUAACAAAGUUUAAAACAGUGAACUUGAAAAAUAUCCAUAGUUUUUUUAAUGAUCGUUUUUCUCACAACCCCUUUAUUUUUGUGUUGUAGUGUAUAAAGAUGUAAUCUGGUAAGA